AGGACGAACGCUGGCGGCGUGCUUAACACAUGCAAGUCGAGCGGACAUCUUCGGAUGUUAGCGGCGAACGGGUGAGUAACACGUGGGCAACCUGCCCCUAGCUCUGGGAUAACUCCGGGAAACCGGGGCUAAUACUGGAUAUGACCGAUCCAUGCAUGUGGGUUGGUGGAAAGUUUUUCGGCUAGGGAUGGGCCCGCGGCCUAUCAGCUUGUUGGUGGGGUGAUGGCCUACCAAGGCGACG
rnacentral:rRNA from 1 species